AGCGAACGCUGGCGGCAGGCUUAACACAUGCAAGUCGAGCGGGCACUUCGGUGUCAGCGGCAGACGGGUGAGUAACACGUGGGAACGUACCCUUUGGUUCGGAAUAACGCUGGGAAACUAGCGCUAAUACCGGAUACGCCCUUUUGGGGAAAGGCUUGCUGCCGAAGGAUCGGCCCGCGUCUGAUUAGCUAGUUGGUGGGGUAAUGGCCUACCAAGGCGACGAUCAGUAGCUGGUCUGAGAGGAUGAUCAGCCACACUGGGACUGAGACACGGCCCAGACUCUUACGGGAGGCAGCAGUGGGGAAUAUUGGAAAAUGGGCGCAAGCCUGAUCCAGCCAUGCCGCGUGAGUGAUGAAGGCCUUAGGGUUGUAAAGCUCUUUUGUCCGGGACGAUAAUGACGGUACCGGAAGAAUAAGCCCCGGCUAACUUCGUG
rnacentral:rRNA from 1 species